ensembl:processed_transcript crsp7 cofactor required for Sp1 transcriptional activation, subunit 7
AGUGGAGUUCAUGAGAUCGGUGAGAGCGCUCGACGCAAUGAGGCGGAGAGACACGACAGCCGUCGAACCUUCAUCUCCCAACUGAAUACACACAUUCACCACUUCUCAAGCUAAUAAUCACACCAGAAACAUGUGGUUCCGCCACUCCUCACUCCUCCCGAGAGGUCUGUGAGCUCCUGCAGUCCAUUAAGCCCUUGAAUCCGGAGGAUUUUUCCCCCGUCGGCCGAUUCGCACCGAGCAGGCAAUGACAACGGCCUCCGCAACCCCGCAGCAGAUGAGAGACCGGCUGCUGCAGGCCAUCGAUAGCCACAGCAAUAUCUGUAACAUGGUUGCAGUUCUUGAUGUUAUCACCAAUUUGGAGAAGUACCCCAUCACCAAAGAAGCUCUUGAGGAAACCCGCUUGGGAAAGCUAAUUAACGAUGUGAGAAAGAAAACAAAGGAUGAGGACCUUGCCAAACGUGCCAAGAAACUCCUUCGGAACUGGCAGAAGUUAAUCGAGCCUGGCCAAGGUGACACUCCGGUGAGAGGGCCGCCAAAUGUCCCGGGCUCUGCCAAUGGUGGUGCUCACCCCUGUCGGACAGACACUCCUCCGGCAGUCCCCCCUCCAAGCAAGGUUGCUCCCGAGCUUAAAACCAGGAAUGACAUCCACAACACGUACUCUCCGAAGGCGGAGAAAUCCAGCAGCCGAAAGCGGCGGGCAGAGCAAAGGGAUAGUCCGCAUCUGCCGGCUAAAAUGUCGAAAACUUCCCUUUAUGAGCCGGUGUAUUCCUCUUCUCCACCAUCAAAUGGAAUUAGGGGGACCCCCGAGCCACUCCUAGAGAAAGAUGAUGAGGUGCCGUCUGACAGAAUUCGCCUGGAGCACCUUGAUAAUGAUAGGCACAACAAAAUCCCCGUCAACGCUGUCAAGCCUCAUCCAAGCUCUCCAGGACUUACCAAACUACCUAGCACUUCCUCCUUACUCAAAGCGUCAGUGUUACAGCAGGCGAGAGUGGACAGUGGUGGGCAGCAUCAACCCAAAAGCCCUCGGUACUCCUCGAGUCCGCGCAGCGCAACACAUGAGACGAUGGCCAAGAGGUCAACGACAUAUGCACCAAAAGGGACUCUCUCGAGCCCAUCUUUGAAUUCUGCCCAAGUGCCCUCUCCUUUGCCCACACUGCAGCCUUUAACGUCGCCGGCACAAGUGUGCAUCAGUGACGGACCAUCAUCUGUGGGGCUGGAAGGCUCGUUGCACUUGCACAGAUCAUCAGAUAGAGUCUCUCAGCCCCCACAUAGCACUGCAACACUGGAGCCGCUCUCUGGUGCCCUGCUCGCCACACACGGCCUGGAGGGUCUGGAGACCAAGGCUGAGCGGGAGGGAGCAUCCUCCAACUCGGAUGGCAAAAAGAGGAAGAAAUACAGACCCAGAGACUAUACCGUAAAUCUUCAGGGGCAGUCCUCCGAGGACAGGACCAAACCACGGUUAAAAGAGCGUAGGUUAACAUUCGACCCAGUGACCGGACAGAUUAAGCCCCUCACUCCAAAAGAAUCCCACCAAGAGGAAGAGUGCCAAGGACAGCCAAUCCCUGAGCCAUCAGUGAGGACUGAUAUCCCGCAGCAAAAGCCACCUACGUCGGUUCCCAACCCUUUUCAACAGACGAACUGGAAAGAGUUGUCCAGAAAUGAAAUCAUUCAAUCGUACCUUAACCUUCAGAGCAAUGUUCUUACAUCCUCUGGAGCACAGACCCAUGGGGCACACUUUUUCAUGACUGAAUAUUUAAAACGAGAGGAACACGAUGUCAAAGAGCCCCGGAAAAUGCACGUUUUAGCCCCAGGCAGCUCCACAACAGAACUGCCCGGGGUGUCUCGGGACGUAACGAACGAGGACCUUCUCAGAAUACACAAUGAACACUGGCCGGGUGUGAAUGGCUGUUAUGACACCAAGGGAGCCUGGUUUGAUUGGACAGACUGCAUAUCGUUGGAUCCUCACGGUGAUGAGAGCAAGUUGAACAUCCUGCCAUAUGUUUGCCUAGACUGAGAGAACAGGGUUUGAAAAGUUUUCAAUGUUCCCACUGUGAGUCCGAGGAGGUGCAUCCCACUCUCCUUGUCGCUCUGUACAAGGUUCAUCGUACAAGUGUAACGAACGAACCAACAGCGGCUGUUCUGAGUACGGUUUUCCAUUAGAAGGAGCUGAAAAGAAGUCCUGUUUGUAAUGUGCUGCUACCAACAAGAAUUUGCAAACAAGGGUUGUAUAUAAUGGCUCGCAGGGAUUUAACUGGGCCAGUUCUUGCACAGUGUGUUAAUAGGAGGGUCCGAGCAAGCAUUGAGCAGUGCAGAAAUGUUUAAAAGCAAGUUGAGAACAUUUUUUGGCAGUUACGAAGAGCUUUAUGUGACAAAGAAUAAAUUAUAAAAAGUUUCUUAUCAUG